UGGGUUUUGAGAGAAAUCCAAUCUCCACAACUAUGCAAUACACCAACCACUCCAUUUCAUAGCGAACUUCAUACUAACCUGAAUUGUCCAAUUUCAUGGACCAAUCGAUAUCGGAUUCAGUCCAAAACUUGGGGAACAUCAUAAUAUGAUGGGAGGAGUCAUUUGGUCUCUUUUGAGUGAAAUCCAGUGGCUAAAACUAUGCAAUACACAAACCACUCCAUUUCAUAACGAACUUCGUUCGAACCUGAAUUGUCCAAUUUGAUGGACCAAUCGAUAUCGGAUUGAGUCCAAAUCAUGGCGAACAUCACGCUAUAGUAGGUGGAGUCAUUUUGUGGCUUUUGAGUGAAAUCCAACGGCUAAAACUAU
rnacentral:lncRNA from 1 species